rnacentral:rRNA from 1 species
UACGUAGGGUGCAAGCGUUGUCCGGAAUUAUUGGGCGUAAAGAGCUCGUAGGCGGUCUGUUGCGUCGGCUGUGAAAACCCGGGGCUCAACUCCGGGCCUGCAGCCGAUACGGGCAGACUAGAGUUCGGCAGGGGAGACUGGAAUUCCUGGUGUAGCGGUGAAAUGCGCAGAUAUCAGGAAGAACACCUAUGGCGAAGGCAGCUCUCUGGGACGGUACUGACGCUGAGACGCGAAAGCGUGGGGAGCGAACAGG